GAGGGAUUUCACCACUUUCUCCCCAAAGUUAUCACAAAACUCUUGGACAUCAAACUGAAGCAAACGCCUCUUUGGAUCAGCUUCACCUUGGGACGACUUGAAAGGUUCAUUGCACCUCCUGUUUGGCCUAUCCUGCACACUAACAAACUCAUCAAAAUUAUUCAAAGAAUAUUUAAAUGAAGAUUGAGAGAUAGUUUGUUGUGGGAUUUCUCCUUGCAACUUUUCCUUUGAAGACCAAACAUCAUAAACUGAAAAUCUCAACACAAGUUAUAAAAUAAAACCUCACACUCUCAAGUGUUUAAUCUCACUCACUCAAGUGUUUCUCUCGGAUUUAGGUGAUCACACACAAGUUUCUACUCAAUGUUCUAAGAAGAACAAAUCAAAAAAUCCCAAUGGACAAAAUCCAA
rnacentral:lncRNA from 1 species